rnacentral:rRNA from 1 species
UACGUAGGGGGCAAGCGUUGUCCGGAUUUCUUGGGCGUAAAGAGCGUGUAGGCGGUUUGGUAGGUCCGUUGUGAAAACUCGAGGCUCAACCUCGAGACGCCGAUGGAAACCAUCAGACCAGAGUCCGGAAGAGGAGAGUGGAAUUCCUGGUGUAGCGGUGAAAUGCGCAGAUAUCAGGAAGAACACCCGUGGCUAAGGCGGCUCACUGGCCCGGUACUGACGCUGAUGUGCGAAAGCGUGGGGAGCAAACAGG